rnacentral:rRNA from 1 species
GAGGGAAAGUUGAAAAGAACUUUGAAGAGAGAGUUCAAGAGUACGUGAAACCGCUUAUAGGUAAACGGAUGGGACCGCAAGUAUCCCCGUGGGAUUCAACCCAUCGUAGGUCCUAUUCUGGCCGUGGUGGUCAAUACCUGACUGACGGAGGGCUGCCUGGUCAAUACGAGUAUCGAUCUUCGAUGGUUGCAAUUUCCACGGGACCAACGCUAGGACCGGUUCAUGGGUGUCCAAAACUUGGGGGCAAGGUAGCUCGGCCCUUGUGGUCGAGAACUUAUAGGUCCCUCUAGUGGGCAGCAUUCGUGGACCGAGGACGUAUCCGCCGUGACAUGGGCACCUGGAUUCCGUCGAUCGAUAGCGACUUUUGUGGACUGUUCGCAGUGCGCAACAACUGCCGGUCGUCGUGGGUCUUGGAUCGCUUCCCAGGUCUACAUUAGGGUCCCUAGCUAAUCGGUCGGCACCCCAUCCGACCCGUCUUGAAACACGGACCAAGGAGUCUAACAUGUAUGCGAGUCAUAGGGUGACAAACCUAAAGGCGCAAUGAAAGUGAUCGCUUUCGAUGGGAUCCCGGUGCAAGCCGGGCGCACCGUCGGCCUGUCUCCAUCUCUCUCACGGUCCGGGUUCUUCACGGUUCUCGGCUGCGAUGUAGGGAGGAGGCAGAGUUCGAGCAUACACGUUGGGACCC